AGUUUGAUCAUGGCUCAGAUUGAACGCUGGCGGCAUGCGUAACACAUGCAAGUCGAACGGUGUUUGGUGCUUGCACCAGACAUAGUGGCGGACGGGUGAGUAAUGCGUAGGAAUCUGUCUUAGAGAGGGGGACAACCCGAGGAAACUUGGGCUAAAACCGCAUAUUCUCGAGAGAGGAAAGCAGGGGACCGGAAACGGCCUUGUGCUCUAAGGUGAGCCUACGUCGGAUUAGCUAGUUGGUAGGGUAAAAGCCUACCAAGGCGAUGAUCUGUAGCUGGUCUGAGAGGACGGACAGCCACACUGGGACUGAGACACGGCCCAGACUCCUACGGGAGGCAGCAGUGGGGAAUAUUGGACAAUGGGGGGAACCCUGAUCCAGCGAUGCCGCGUGUGUGAAGAAGGCCUGCGGGUUGUAAAGCACUUUCAGUGGGAAAGAGAAGCGUCUUGUGAAUAAUGGGACGUGGAGACGUUACUCACAGAAGAAGCACCGGCUAACUCUGUG
rnacentral:rRNA from 1 species